UACGGAGGAUCCGAGCGUUAUCCGGAUUUAUUGGGUUUAAAGGGAGCGUAGGUGGACUGGUAAGUCAGUUGUGAAAGUUUGCGGCUCAACCGUAAAAUUGCAGUUGAUACUGUCAGUCUUGAGUACAGUAGAGGUGGGCGGAAUUCGUGGUGUAGCGGUGAAAUGCUUAGAUAUCACGAAGAACUCCGAUUGCGAAGGCAGCUCACUGGACUGCAACUGACACUGAUGCUCGAAAGUGUGGGUAUCAAACAGGAUUAGAUAC
rnacentral:rRNA from 1 species